AUUGAACGCUGGCGGCAGGCUUAACACAUGCAAGUCGAGCGGAGCGAGGGUGCUUGCACCUUAGCUUAGCGGCGGACGGGUGAGUACUGCUUAGGAAUCUGCCUAUUAGUUGGGGACAACAUUCCGAAAGGAAUGCUAAUACCGCAUACGCCCUACGGGGGACAGCAGGGGAUCUUCGGACCUUGCGCUAAUAGAUGAGCCUGAGUCGGAGUAGCUAGUUGGUGGGGUAAAGGCCUACCAAGGCGACGAUCUGUAGCGGGUCUGAGAGGAUGAUCCGCCACACUGGGACUGAGACACGGCCCAGACUCCUACGGGAGGCAGCAGUGGGGAAUAUUGGACAAUGGGCGGAAGCCUGAUCCAGCCAUGCCGCGUGUGUGAAGAAGGCCUUUUGGUUGUAAAGCACUUUAAGCGAGGAGGAGGCUCUUAAGGUUAAUACCCUUGAUGAGUGGACGUUACUCGCAGAAUAAGCACCGGCUAACUCUGUGCCAGCAGCCGCCGUAAGAC
rnacentral:rRNA from 1 species